UUAGUACUCCCUCCGUCCAACAAAACAUGUCUCAAGUUUAUCAAAAUUUGGAUGUAUCUAGACAUGACUUAGUAUAUAGAUGUAUUCAAAUUUAUUUAAAGUUGAGACAUCUUUUGUUGGUCGGAGAGAGUAACAG
rfam:Brachypodium distachyon strain Bd21 chromosome 5, whole genome shotgun sequence.